rnacentral:rRNA from 1 species
AUUGAACGCUGGCGGCGUGCCUAAUACAUGCAAGUCGAACGCAGGGGGGACGGGUGAGUAACACGUGGGUAACCUCCCAUCAGAGGGGAUAACACUUGGAAAAAGGUGCUAAACCGAUACUGAUAGAUGGACCCGCGGUGCAUUAGCUAGUUGGUGAGGUAACGGCUCACCAAGGCCACGAUGAAUAGACGACCGGGGAGGUUGAUCGGCCACACGGGGAGUGAGACACGGCCCAGACACCUACGGGAGGCAGCAGUAGGUAAUCUUAGACAAGGGACGAAAGUCUGACCGAGCAAGGCCGCGUGAAUGAAGAAGGUUCUCGGAUCGUAAAGCUCUGUUGUUAGAGAAGCGGUAUCUAACCAGAAAGCCACGGCUAACUACGUGCCAGCAGCCGCGGUAAUAC